GGCCGAAACGCGCAACGAAACCGACCCCAAAUCGAAUCCACCGCCGCGGCGCCGCUCCCCCCUUCGGCCGCCCGCCCUAGCAACUCCUCCGGCGGCUGGCGAGCGAGCAGAGAUGAACGCCGCUGCUCCCGCCGUCCCGCCUCCCCUCUCAGCCUCCUACUCCACCUCAAUCUGCCGGCGAGGAAUUUCGGAUUCCAGCAACAAGGGGCGCGUCGGUGAUCUUCGGCGCGUGGCUGCGACAGAGCUCGACGCGCCCAGGCGGUUGAUCUGGCCGGGUGUCCAUGGCCGAUGGCGGCUUCAAAGGAUCGACAACGCUGCCACGGGUAGAGAUCGACGGCAGUAGGCCUGAUCUGUCGCCCCUCCAGUGGAUUCGUCGCUCCUCUUCCACGGCCACCAAUGGCGCAAGCCCCUUUCCUCGUCCAACGCUCGCUCAGGGUGCUCUGUUCCUCAGCCGGUGAGCCCCCGUCUCUUCGACGGCAGCGGCACAGGCCGCACCUUGAGCUUCACAUCUCUUCCACGACAAGCGGCACAAGCAACAUGUUUUCUAGGGUUUUGUUUCCCCGCCUCCUUUCUUCGCAGUGGCACAUCAACGGCAUUGCCAACAACCUGCCAGAUUUGUCUCACUGCCAACAUAUCUGCAUAAGCUGCAUCCAAAUUAAGCAGUACCAGUCCCAAAAUAAUUACUCUGGCCAGAGAAAGAAGCCAGUGUUCAGCGUGCUCUGUUCGAUCUAAUACAGUCUGGUAGAUUUUGAAAGAAAGGAAUUGCAGAUUUUAUUUGGACAAAGAGAUGAAGCCAGAAAGGCCAUGGCGACAACUCGUUCCACAUCCACAACUCUGGCCGCCAUGCCCAUAGUAUCUUCUACAUGCAGGUGGUCUGUGUUCAUCUCUAGCCCUGUGUGUGUGUGUGCGUGUGCGUGUGCGGAACUAGGAUUCGAUUCGGUAUAACACCAUCACCGAUGCAGACGAUAAGGGGUUCAUCGCACCAGGCACCUUGGCGUUGCUUCCGUGAGAUGGUGGCCGUGGCUACAGAAACAGCUACGGUGAGUUCCUCUCCUCACCUCCAGUGGUUGCUCUGAGUUCGGUGUGGCCAUCGUGCCAUGGCUAUAUCUGGUUAGGCUGCUACAGUACGCCCUUGCAUAACGAUGGUGCUACUGUUUGUUUGUUUCUCUGCCUUGCUGCCACUAGCCUGCCUAAUAGAAACUUGCUGAAUAUAUAUGUCUUUGAGCAGGAAUUGAUAGAAUAUAUAUAGCUCAUGUUCAUGUUGAUUCCCAUCCCACUCAAAGUCUGAAACACUUCUUCUUCUUCGCACUCAACAACUAGGCAGCACACCCAAAUAUAUAUGCAUAUAUAUGUAUGUAGUUUCCCACUACACACAUGGAGCAGUCUUGUUCGUUUCAGGAUGUAGUAUCACCACUUUAUUUAUUCCCUGCCUGCCUCCAUGAUAUUCUGACUGCAUAUAUGUGGUCUGUGUACCAUCCAUGAUAUGCACUUCCAUCCUCAAUUCAUGUUGGUAUUGUUUUAUACCAAGGAUGCCUUCCUACUCCUGCUAGUUUAGUUGUUGUGUGGCCUUGUUUCCAUGAUGAUGAAAUUCCAAAUAUACAAAUUAUUCAUACUACAUGGAGGGCCGGUGCGGGUGCUGUGGACACUCAUUUUAUGUCACUUCAUUCAAUUAAGAAAGGCAUUUUUGACAGCAUCAAAGUAAGAAGUCGUUCGAGAAGAGUGGUGCCAGAAUAACCAUAGCGUUCAAUAGAGGAAAGCGGGCGAGCACGGAAGCCAUAGUAGGUUGAGUUGGAGGCAAUGCGUUACCAAUAGAAGGAGGUUUGGUAGUUGAGGGAGAUGGCGAAUUAGAGGAAUCCACAACAUGUGGACAACCAAUGUGGUAAGAAGAGGAUGAGGGGGAAUUACCGGAGAAGCCUCACAGGAUGAGCGAGGUUUGAGGUAGCCUCAGGUAAUGAACGAGGUGAGGAAGCCACAUGUGUUAAUGGUAUGGAGUCUAGAAUAUUAGUACAGGAAGACACGGUGGGAUGGGUGGAUAAGGACAAUGCGUGGGUGAUAGUCGUAUCUGCAAAAGUGAGGAAAGAAAUAUCGUCAAUGGGAGGAUGGACAUGGAUUGAAAGGAUGAGACUCAUCAAAAGCCACAUCCUGAGAAAUGAGCAUCCCAUGAGAAGGAUCCUAACAAGUGAUAUUCAAUAGACUGAGCAACCAGUUUGGUGCGUUCACGGGAGGGGGGGGGGCAAAAAGAAAAGGUAGCAACUGCAACCAAACAAAAGAAGCGUUGAGUAGCCAUGAGAAUGACCAAAAAGACGCUUGAGAGAACAAGAUCAAAAGGACGUUGAGAGAUCGUCUCACUAUGAGGAUGAAGUAAUCGUGUUUACCAAGCCGACAAACUUGACAGUUUAAAGACAACACCCGAGAUAGAUACAAGAAAAUCACGUUGAGAGGUGAGGGACGAGAGCCAUACAAUUGACCGACGAUGAUGCCACAGAGAGUCGGUAGCCAAGGAAACAGACGAAGAAAAGGUAGCAACCACAACCAAACAAAUGAAGCGUUGAGUAGUCACAAGAACAACUAAAAAGACGCUCGAGAGAAAUGUCACCUUGCGGAACAGAGGAAGGGUGAAUAUUGAUGAGAUGGGUGGAAGUAGGAACAAUCUCAACCCAAAAGUGAGGUGGAAGAGAGGCGGCGAUCAUCGACGCACGGGCUACCUCAAGAAAGUGACAAUGGUUGCGCUCAUCAACACCAUUUUGAGCAUGAGCACUAGGAGAAGAGAACUGACCAAGUGCGCCCUGCUCAGCGAGGAAUCCCACAACAAAUGAGAGAUAUACUCACGAGCAGGAUCUACACGGAAGACAUUGAUGGGAGUGGAAAACUGGGUAUGAACCAUGGUGAUAAACUUCUCACCGAUAAGAUCUCACUACAAGAAGAUACGAAAUAUAUUCAUGUGUGUCAAGAGUAAUCAUCUAUAAACAUAAUAUAGUAGCGAUGGCCUCCUUUCGAGGCGAAGGAAGCUGGACCCCAAACAUCAGAGUGAACAAGAUUGAAAGGAUGUUGAGACACCGCCUCGCUAUGAGUAUAAAGUAACCGAACCUGUUUACCAAGCUGACAAACCCGAUAGUUUAAAGACACAACACCUGAGACAGAUCCAAGAAAACCACAUUGAACUAAGGACGAGGGAUGAGAGCCAUACAAGUGACCCACAAUGAUGCCACAUAGAGCCGACAACCGAGGAAACAUAGGUGAAGAGAGUAGCGGUGGUGGCAGCAAGGCAGGUGAAGCCAUUCAAGCUCCUGGAGGACUUGGGAGUCACUGCGCCGAGGGCCAACACAAAGUAGAGCACACGUGUGACGAUCCUAAUCUAAACAAGAGCCAAAGAUGAGGAUGACUACUCCUGAGUCAACAAUCUUACACUUGAAAUGAGCUACAUGGUAAGUCAAGGAACAUGACAACGAAGUGCUAAUAGUGCCUAGACUAUCGAAUGGGAGGGGAAGUACCAUCAACAAUAAGAACAUGAACAUGAGAGUCUAAAGGUUUGAGUGGAGGACAAACUGGAAGAAGCAUGAGUCAUAUGAAAAGACUCUCCAAUAUCAAGGAUCCAUGGAAAGAUGUGCUUCCAGCCUAGAAAUGAGUUCAGUGCUCAACCUCAUGGCAGCACACUUAUAUGAUAAUUUUUGGACAUUUCUAAUAACAAGAAGCCUUACUCUUAUUUUGGCAUUUUGGCCUGAGGUAGCUGGGCUAGUAGGUGCCAAGGUGGUCGUGGAAAGAAAGAUGAUUUUGACCCUUCCUUGGUUAUGACUUUGGUACGAAGCCACCUCGCAAGAUGUUAUGAUUGCAGGCAACCCCGCGUCAGUGAAGGACCUGCCCUUGGCGCCAGGGGAAAGAAAGUGACAAGUCUUAUAUAGAAUACCACGAGGGAAAACUGGGACGAGCAUCUCAGCUCAGGGUUCCUAUUUGCAAGUUCAAGUGAAAAAGACAGAGGAUGACGAGGGCGUGCUGCUCCUGACAUCAUUUUCAUUGCUUCCUCAUACCUCCCUAUUUGCAAGUUCAUGUGAAGAAAAGACAGGAUGGCAAGUGCGUGUCGCUCUUGACAGUGUUUUCAUUGCAUCCCCGUAACUCUCAUGCACUCUCCAUUUCUAGCUGAUCUGACUUAGCGUUCUUCCCCUGUUUAUGGGUUUUGUGUCACGGACUUGGUUCCGCAUUUCAUGUUCCCUUGUUGGUCGUCCCUGGCCUUGGCGACAGGUAGCAACGUGCUCCUGGGCGCUAUGCGUCCUCGCGUAAGACGGAGAUGGUGCCGACUGCUUGCGCUCUUGCUCCGCCAGUGGUGGUGCCUGAGCUUGUGGCUAUUUGGGCAACCUGCAUGGGAGCACAGGAUGUAGGAACAAGGCAGCACACAAAGCAACUUGCAAACAUGUGAAGGAUGCUUUGCCGUUCUGGCAGGCAAUGGAGAGUACGCGGGAGGUGUGGGGGAAGGGUGAAAACACUGUCGAGAGUGGACUGUCAUUGCCGUCAGUCUUUGGACCUAGAGCCGAGCGAAGAAGGGAUGGCGAUAAGCGAGGAAGACAGGAAGAGGGCAUAUGCCCGUGUGUCGGCCAUGACAGUGGACGAUUGUGGGUAGAUCCGAUGUCUACACAUGGAUCUGCUACUUGUGAUGGCAUGGCAUGGUUGUUGUGGAGUGAGGUGCCAUCGUAGUCACGGCCAUGGCAUGGCAUGGCACUCUGCCAUCGUAGUCAUGGCCAUAUUUUUUUUGAAAACCACGGGCCACACAACGAGCCAUGUAACGUUUGGGAGAACCACCAGUCUUAACAUUGUAGACCCACUUACAAGUGACAGACGAGCAUGAGGAGGAAGGGAAAUGAGAUCCCAUGUGUUGAUGCACUCACGAGCAGCAAUCUCUUAUGCCAUCGCAUGUUGCAGUUUGAGGUGAACAACACCGUCAUGAGCAUUCAUCUCGAGAAGAAUGAUGCCAGAAUAACCAUAGUAUACAAUAGGGGGAAGCGGGUGAGUGCAGAAGCCAUAGUAGGUUGAGCUGGAGGCGAUGCGUGGCCAAUAGGAGGCAUGGUUGUCAAGGGAGAUGGUGCAUCAGAAGAAUCCACAACAAGUGGACGACCAAUGUGGUAAAUAUAAGAGGACGAGGGGGAAUCAUCGGAGAAGCCACAUGGGAUGAGCGUAGUGAGGUUGCCUAAGGUAACAAAUGAGGUGCGGAAGCCACAUGUGACGAUGGCAUGGCGUCUACAAGAGUAGUAUGGGAAGACAUGAUGGGAUGGGUGGACGAGGGCAACACAUGAGUGAUAGUUGUAUCAGGAAAAGUGAGGAAAGGAAUAUCCUAAAUGGGAGGAUGGGCGUGGAUAGAGAAGGACGAGACUCAUCAAAAGUCACAUCCCGAGCAAUGCGUAUUCGACGACCCACAGAAUCCCAACAUUGAUAGCCGUUGUGCUCGUCAUUGUGAAGACAUUCAACUGACUGAGCAGCCAGUUUGGUGCGUUCGGGGGGGGGGGGGGAGGGUGGCAAAACAUAGCAAACAAACGAAGCACUGAGUCAUGAGAACAACCAAAAUGAUGCUCGAUAGAAAUGUCACCCUGCAAAGCAGAGGAAGGUUGAAUGUUGAUGAGAUAGGUGGAAGUAGGAACAACCUCAACCCAAAAGUGAGGCGGAAGAGCCGCGACGAUCAUCAAUUCACGAGCUGCCUCAAGAAAGUGAUGAUGCUUGUGCUCGUCAACACCAUUCUGAGCAUGAGCACCAGCAGAGCAAGUUUGUCCUGCUCAACAAGGAAUCCACGCAACAAAUGAGAGCUACAGUUAUGAGCAGAAUCUACAUGGAAGACACAAAUAGGAGUGGAAAACUGGGUCAAGCAUGGUGGCAUGGCAGGGAAGACACAAUCAUGGGCAGUCAUGGCGGCAAACUUACGGAGGAAUCAUCUAUAAAGAUAUUAUAGUAAAGAAUGGCCUCUUUUCGAGGCAAAUGGAGUUGGAUCCCAAACAUCAGAGUGAACAAGAUCGAACGGGUGUUGAGAAACUGUCUUGCUAUGAGGAUGCAAUAACGGAACUGUUUACCAAGCAGACAACCUGGCAGUCUAAAGACCCAAUGCCGGAGACAUAUCCACGUUGAACCAAAGGAUGAGGGACGAGAGACAGAAGUGACCAAGACAAUGAUGCGAUAGAGAGCUGGUAGUCGAGGUAACAAAGGCGAAGAGAUUGGCACCAAGUAGAGCACCCGUGUGACGGUCCUAAUCUACAACCAGUCAACAAUCUAACCACCUAAAAUGAGUUACAUGGUAAGUCAAGGAAGGUGAGCAAAAGAAUGAACAUGACAAGACAAAGUGUCUCAACUAUCGAAUGGGAGGGAAGUACCAUCAACAGUAAGAACAUGAACAGGAGAAGCUAGAGGUUUGAAUAGAGGACAAACUGGAAGAAUCAUGAGUUAUAUGAAAAUACGCUCCAAUUCAAAGGAUCCAUGGAAAUAUACCCGACUGUACAAAAGCACCGGGCGAUGAAAAACCAGAAGCAUUAAGUAGGUGUCGAAGUUGUCCAAGCUCUUGCGCGGUGAAGGAUACCGCUGAAGUGGUCGACGUAGAAUCACCAAAAGAGGAGUGGCCGCCACCACCACCUAUGUGAGCCCCAAAGAGGCGGCGGUGUAGCACGACAAAUACCAGUGGUAGAAGUCGAUAGAGGAGACAACGUCGUAAGCACACAAACACCAACCGCGUGGGAGUGAUGUGCACCAACACUAUCGAUGAAAGCCAUGAGGCGAGUCUGUGUACAGCGACCAUCACCAUCUAUAAAGAUCGCGCAAGUUGUCACUAUGGAGCCACCACCACUGCCUGUAAAAACAAUUGGGGGAGCAACCUCAGGUGGAGGAACACUGCACCAGCAAACGACACAUGUAUGAGGUAGGGUCAGUGUAGGUAACACCCUAAGAAAUCACCGGACAACAAGAUACUAUGUCCAAUGAAGUCAUUGUACCUGUUUCUUUGUUCUACUCUUUUCUUUUACAGAACAGUCUUAGAGAGCAGCAGAGCAUGGAAGAGCAGUGUAUAGGGCACGCAGGGUGCCCUAGAGAAGCCAGUCGGUGGAACGGGUUGCCGGGGCUAAGGUUCCGCGGUGAAGUCCGGCGAUGAGGUCCUGUAUGUAGCAAAAGGUGCGGAGACCAUGACCCGCAACAGCGGACGUCUCAAAUAUUGCACCUCCUGGAGCUGCGGGGCGCUGGCCUCCCGGAGAUGGCGGUGAGGUGCUGACCUUCUGUACAUGGUAAUGAGGCGCGACCUCCUGAAACUGCAGGUGACGACGGCCUAGGGUCUACAACAUUAGUAUGGGAAGACAUGGUGGGAUGGGUCGUGGAGGACAAUACAUGGGUGAUUGGUGUUAUUGGGAAAAGUAAGGAAAGAAAUUUAACUCCUACAGUAUGAGAGGGUCACUAGGUAGCCUCGUUGCUCUCUCUCUCUCUCUCUCUCUCUCUCUCUCUCUCUCUCUCUCUCUCUCUCUCUCUCCUUGCAGUUUCUGGAAUUGGGAGUGGAAGAAGCGGUGAGCGUUCCGGAGGUGAAGGGCGGCAAUAGAAGUUCAUCUGACCUUCGUUCCUGUAGCAUGGUUCGAAUCAAUUAAAGACCUGAGAUUCAGUGGUAGAAGCUGCAGACAACCAUCGCUGGCGAGGCACAAGAGGUUUCCACGGUCAGAUCUACAUUGAGGCGAGGCCAUGUCAAAGAAAACACCACUAGUAGUAAGAUCAUAAGAUACUAAUGGGCUCCCUGUAAUCCCAAAGUGCACUGGCCAGUGGAUAGAUAUUUUUUACAAAAUCUUCUAGAGGCGCUUAAUUUUCUAUAUCGAAAACGACUUCUGGUUCCAUCCAACCUGUAUGGGAAUGAUCAUUGAGUAGGCCAAAAAGUUAGAUAAUUUCCUGUGCUCAGAUUGUGCUAAAGAAAACGACGCAAAGAGACCUACAAAUUCAUACCAGAGUUCACCAAGUUCUCAUUCUAAG